CCUGUGCAGAAUGAGAGAUUGAUUCCUGAUCUGAAAACCAGCAUUGUCCAAACAAGCAGAUGGCUGAUAUGAUUCCUGGUUUUAUGGAAGCGCCUAAUAUACAACAUCUAACAGGGAUGUGAAAAGAGCUCUUAACUACAACCAUAACUGGAGUAAAUUGAUUGGUGGUAUCUCCAAGAGACCAUGUGGAGCCAUUGUUGAUCUCACAGAAGAAGCUUUCACUCUUAGUGGUAGUCUUUGGUUUAUGCAGGGUGUCAUUAAGCAGUGCUACAGUACAUCCGGCCACACAGAUGAAGAUUUAGACUGCUUACCUCAUGAAC